AUGAUCAUCAUCCAGUAUUGCUGUGACUGUGUACAACGUUCUUCAGAUUCUGCUUAUUUCACUCUGCAUCAGUUCAUGUAGAUCUUUCCAGUCUUUUCUGAAAUGCUCUUGCUUGUCACUUCUUAUGGCAUAAUAGUAUUCCAUCAUUAACAAGUACCACAGCUUGUUCAGCCAUUCCCCAAAUGAUGGGCAUCCCCUCAAACUCCAGUUCUUUGCCACCACAAAGAGUGUGGCUAUAAAUAUUUUUGUAUGAGUAGAUCCUUUACCCUUUUUGAUUAUCUUUUUGGUAUAUAGACCCAAUAGUGGCUUUCAAAUUGCCCUCCAGAAUGGUUGGGUUGGUUCACAACUCCCAAAACAAUGCAUUUGUCAGGUUAUUUGUGAGGAAAGUGCUUUGGAAACUUUAAAAUGAUCUAGAAAUGGAACUAUUGAUGAAAAUGAUGAGUUCAUGGCGAGGAACGGUGGGGCCAUGUAUCUAGAGUGUCUGCUAACAUCAUGCAAUGGAAAAGACCUUGGCUCUUGAGUCUCAUCAUGGGUUCAAAUCCCAUCCCUGAUGAUUACAGCCUGUAGGGUCUUGGAUAAGUCACCUAACAUCUCCUGGCUUCAGUUUUCUGUCCCAUAAAACAAGUGGAUUGGACUCAAUGAUCUUGAAAGUCUUUUCCAGCUCUUCAACAUUGACAAUAACAACAGGGAACCUUUAUCUGUUCCAUAGAUUUAUGUCCCUGGGAUUUGUAUAUUUACACCUAAUUUUCAGGGAUUUCAUACUGAAUUUGCAGAUAGGUCCCACAGAGGCUCAGAGAACUGACUUGUUCCUUCAUUCAUCCAGCCUCCUGUGACACCAUGAAAAAAACCACCCAACUUUAUGGGAAGAGGGGCCCAAGGAGGACGGGGUCAUAGCACUUUAAUGAAUACAUGCCAAGGAAGAAUGGAAAGACCUCCCUAGAGGUCUGGAGGAGGUUGGGGCAUGGAGAAGAUGCAGCUGAGAUUCUGCUAUGCUAAUGAUGGGAAAUGGUGGCUAAUUUGACAAGCCAAUUGGAGUCACAGUGAUUGCAUUUGACUUUCUGACUAAUGACGAGGGAUGAACUCUCUGUUAGUGCAACUUACAGUUGAAUAGCCUUGGGCGAUCACCCAAUCAAAUGUUCAAAAUGUUGCCAUGUACAUUGUCUAAUAAAGCCAUAAAGAAAGGGCUUUGCUAAAUGAUU
rnacentral:lncRNA from 1 species